UCACUCUUGUUUCUCUUCAGCUUGUAUAAAUCUUUUGCCAUUUACUAAAGAUUUUUGUGGGGAGGAACAAUAAGUGUCUGUCUCACUUUUUCUUUAUGCUCUGUGAAAGCAGAACU